rnacentral:sRNA from 1 species
GCAGGGCGUGGUAGCGCAUGCCUGUAAUCCCAGUGACUUGGAGGCUGAGGCAAGAGAAUUGCAAGUUCGAGGCCAGCCUCAGCAAUUUAAUGAAGCCCUGUCUCAA